rnacentral:rRNA from 1 species
GAUUCCCCUAGUAACUGCGAGUGAAGAGGGAAAAGCUCAAAUUUAAAAUCUGGCAGUCUUUGAUUGUCCGAGUUGUAAUUUAGAGAAGUGUUACCCGCGCUGGACCGUGUAUAAGUCUCCUGGAAUGGAGCGUCAUAGAGGGUGAGAAUCCCGUCUUUGACACGGACUACCAGGGCAUUGUGGUGCGCUCUCGAAGAGUCGAGUUGUUUGGGAAUGCAGCUCUAAAUGGGUGGUAAAUUCCAUCUAAAGCUAAAUAUUGGCGAGAGACCGAUAGCGAACAAGUACCGUGAGGGAAAGAUGAAAAGAACUUUGGAAAGAGAGUUAAACAGUACGUGAAAUUGCUGAAAGGGAAACGCUUGAAGUCAGUCGCGUUGGCCAGGGAUCAGCCUUGCUUUUGUGAGGUGUACUUCCUGGUUGACGGGUCAGCAUCAGUUUCGACCACUGGAAAAAGGCUUAGGGAAUGUGGCACCUCCGGGUGUGUUAUAGCCCUUUGUCGUAUACAGUGGCUGGGACUGAGGAACUCAGCACGCCGCAAGGCCGGGAUUCGUCCACGUUCGUGCUUAGGAUGCUGGCAUAAUGGCUUUAAGCGACCCG